AGGGGCACAGAACCUUCCUCUUCCCGCUUUGGAAACCGCUAUUUUCUUGGUGAUGAUGGUCUAGUUUGGGCAAAAAAACGUGCAGGCCACUCAAGCUCUCACCAAAAAUGCUGAAAUAAAAAGAUCCAUUAGCGAUCGAUUGCAAGGGGGGCAGCAUACAGCCAGCAAGUGCCCACAACUAAUUCCAAGCCUCCGCUGCCACCUCGACGCCUUCUCGUCGGGAUCCGGCAUCAAUUCGAGUGCCAUCUAGCAUUGACCGACGACUUUAUUGAGCCCGCUGUGAGCCAAUACAAAAGGUCCCAAGGGAUCGGAGCAACAUCUGGGUGGGGGUGGGGAAGCUUGAGCCCCCUACGUCGAUGUUGCUUAUGGAGCCUCUACAAUAAUUUUCCACCAUGGAUGAAGAAGGUGGAGGAGGAGAAAGAAGAAAACGAGUGGAGGAAGGGAGAACAGAAUAGCCAAUGGACAAUCUUUAUGCACCACUACUUGCAUAAGCAUUUAAUUUUGUUCUUAAUCUACUAAUUGUUAUCAUAUCAUCUUUUUUAAAACCUCUCUAAAUCUAACAUUAUUCGUGUAUUGGUGUUGACAUACCUAUAGUCUGUUCAUUCUAUCUACUUUUGUAGAUGAAAAUGGUUAAGGUGCUAGUUAUCGCCACCACUAUUCUGAUUACGAUGCAGUUCAUCACCACGGUAAGUAGCUCCAGCUCCUACUGGGCUUUCUACUGCUCCUCCCUGGGUAACUUCACCAUGAUAUCCCGUACGAUAACAACAUGGACAUGCACGGUGUCUGCUAUUCUUCUAGGAGGGCGUCCUUCUCCCUUCUGCUAUUUAAUAACAUCCUGUUGUUGUUUCCCGUGGUGAGACAAUGAUGGUGUAUGCGGUCGGGCAGUGCCAGUGCAACUUUAGAAGGUCUGCCUACGAGAGCUGCAUCAAAGUAUGCUUGGAGGAAGCCCACCGGUACUGUGGUUUUAGAGAAGGCGCUUUCAUCUUCCAUGAUCUGUGCACCGUUGCCUAGAGAGAGGCUGAGUCUGUUCCCUAGUCCACCAAAUAGAUUCAGUAUACUUUCAUUUA